rnacentral:lncRNA from 1 species
UCUUAUACAUAUUGGCCCCAGGUUUUGGGCCACUGUUCACUCACUGAGGAUCUAAGGAAACACUGAGAUGGGGCCUUUUAGGGAGUAAUCCACACUUUGUGUCACAUACUUUUGCUUUGUUGAUGGGAGUGGACUUCCCUGGAGCAGCCCUGUGAGGCCUGGUGGCCUCUUGGUGGCCAAUCAAACCAGGACAAGCAAUGGCAUGGCAUCUGAUUUUCCCAUUCUGAGCUCCUGUCCCAUUUUCCACCCUAUCCCAGAAACUUUGAAGUAGACAUUCAUAGCAAAGAACUGCUUUAUGUGAUUCUGGCGGCUGGGUAGGCAAGACUAAAAUCCGCAGGUCCAGGAGGACUGGCAGGCUGAACUCUUGGGCAGGAGCUGGAGCUGCAGUUUUAGGCAGAAUUUUUUCUUCUUCAAAGAAACCUCAGCUUUGCUCUUAAGGCUUUUCAACUGAUUGAAUCAGGCCACCCAGGUUAUUGAGGAAAAUUUCCUUACUUACAGUCAACUGAUUUUGGACUUUAACUACCAUCCAUAAAAUACCUGUGUUGGGGCACCUAGAUUAGUAUUUGAUUGAAUAACUGGGGAGUGGGCCUAAGUUAACACAUAAAACUAACCAUCACAGAGCUGGUGACGUGGUAUGCAUCUGUAGGUCCAGCUACUAGGGAGGCUGAUGCAGGAGGAUUGCUUGAGCCCAGGAGUUUGGAGCUGUAGCGUGUUAUGAUUGCACCUGUGAAUAGCCACUGCACUCCAGCCUGGCAACAUAGAGACACCCUGUCUCUAAAACAAAUAAGCAAACACAUGCACACAAACCUGAUGAUCACAGAGGAGGGUGGAAUAUUUCCACACUGAAGAGGUGUCACAGUGUUCCCAGCUAUUCUUAUUAUAGUGUCAGGCACAAAGUUGACAACCAGUAAAUAUUUUUGAAUAAAUGAAUGAAUGAGUGA